GUUCAAAACACACACCACCACACACACACCAAAAACCAAAAAACCCAAGAGAGAGAGAGAAACAAAGGGGAAAAGGGAAAUCUUUUUUUCUUUUUCUUUUUCUUUUGGUUUGUUUUUUUGGCUCAAAAUCAAAUCGAAACGAAAAGGGAGGUCAUAUUUCUUUUCAAAGGGCAAAAAGCAAGAAAGGAGAGAGAAGAGGAGGAAGGAAGAGAGAAGAAAAGAAGAAG
rnacentral:ribozyme from 1 species